CCUGCGGUUGGGUUUGGCCAUGGAGUGUUAGAUCAAACUGUGGGAUCUGAUCGGGAAACACUAGAUCGGGUGCUUCCCGCGACUUGAUCUGGCCGUUAAGUACCAAAUCUGGCUGGAUCUCGAUUGAAUCUUGUCGAAAAGGACUAGAUCGAUGCUUUUCAACCAUAUUCGGUGGCUGUCGUCGCCGUCAACAUCGCUUCCG
rnacentral:lncRNA from 1 species